rnacentral:rRNA from 1 species
CCUGGCGGCCAUAGCGCCGUGGAACCACCUGAUCCCAUGCCGAACUCAGAAGUGAAACGCGGUAGCGCCGAUGGUAGUGU